AGAUUGAACGCUGGCGGCAUGCCUUACACAUGCAAGUCGAACGGCAGCACGGGGGCAACCCUGGUGGCGAGUGGCGAACGGGUGAGUAAUGCAUCGGAACGUGCCCAGUAGUGGGGGAUAACUAGUCGAAAGAUUAGCUAAUACCGCAUACGACCUAAGGGUGAAAGCGGGGGAUUCGCAAGAACCUCGCGCUAUCGGAGCGGCCGAUGUCUGAUUAGCUAGUUGGCGGGUAAAAGCCCACCAAGGCUUCGAUCAGUAGCUGGUCUGAGAGGACGACCAGCCACACUGGGACUGAGACACGGCCCAGACUCCUACGGGAGCAGCAGUGGGGAAUUUGGACAAUGGGCGCAAGCCUGAUCCAGCCAUGCCGCGUGCGGGAAGAAGGCCUUGGUGUAACCGCUUUGCAGGAACGAACGGCGCGAGCGAAUAUCUCGCGUUAAUGACGGUACCUGCAGAAUAAGCACCGGCUAACGUACGUGCCAGCAGCCGUA
rnacentral:rRNA from 1 species